UCAGUGGAGCCAUCGCUGACGUUCUUGCCUUUUCUUUCUUGCAGGACGUUGACAAAGGAACGCACGCCGACACUCCCACAUGAACAGCUGGCUGCUUCCCAGCGUCCUACGGGAGAGCUACCGGCUUCUAGGCAACGCUGCGUGUGAUCUGUGGGGGAGCCUGGCCACUCCUGGAGGUUCCAAGGUCAAAGAAACGCAUUCCGGAUGCGACGGAUUUGAUCUUGGAAAGCUGCUUUGAAGAUACGAUAGCUAUUCCCUAUUGUUCACUUUAAGGCAAACAAUGUAUACAUUUUUCUGUGUCAGGCUCCUCUGUGAAGUUAGUGAAACGGUAGCUUAGUUUGCUCCCAUCUCCUGUUCCGCCCUGCUGGUUUUCGAUUGUGCGUCACUGAAUUGCCAUCAGAAAUCCAGUCCCGACUGCGUGUGCGAGGCCAGGGAGGGAGGUGAGAGGCGGCCUCUCGGACACACUCUGCCAUGGGCCGGAAGCAGGAGGCACCCUCUUUGUGAUGAUCUCUGAGAGCUAAGGAGAGACUCCAGCACCACCCUUUCUCCUGGUGCCCUGUCCAUAACUAAGUGUCCAGAAGUCUCCUCCACAGGCAUUUUCUCUGCUCAUUCUCCUAGUAAUCCUGUGAAGGAGACGUGUUCUCCAUUCUAUAGGAGAGGACUCUGAGGUUCAGAAAACUCAAGUCAGAGAAAGCAUGAGGUUGGACUUCGCUUCUUGGCCCGGGUCGGACUGUAGGCUGCUGCUGGAGCUGUGCGGCUUUGGGUAGGUGGCCUGGGCACUAUGUGUUCACCAAACGCACUUCCCUUCCAUCCUGGGUGCAAGGCGACCUCCGAUCCCAGCCUUUCCUGUUGGGCUCAGCAAUGGAAACAAGCAGUGGGGCCCUGCGCUCCAUGCAGGGUGGAUCUAGAACCUUCCGAGGACUUGAAACCCUCAGAGGGGGACAGGGUGGGGAGACACAGAGAAGGCCCAGGAAUGACCUUGUGGGAAGUCGCUUAUCCACCAGGAACUCUGGUGCUGAACUUUUUCUAAGCGAAAGUUAACUUCUGUUGGAUUAAGACCCUGAAGAUUGGGCUUUAACACCUGUUGUGUUACCUGCACUCAAACAAACCAGGGCUCCUUACUCAGCCCUCGGGAGCCUUGGCAUUCUCACCUCUAAAGCAGGAGGAGUCGUGAUACCUGCCUUGAGGAAUUUGAGCAAAGUUAAACGACCUGAACUAUUUGGGCGUUUCUUGACCAAUGUCCGACCUUGGGAGGUGCUGGAUGAAUUUUUAUUUCUCUACUUUAAGUCAGCCUUUCUACCUUGUUGCUCUUCUCAGCUGCCUUUCUCUGAGCCUCCUUCAUCACUCUGUUCAUUUCUGUGAGACAAAGAUCAUUACAACUGCCUUAAUAUUUCGGUGCAAGACGCACCGUGACCUGACAUUGCUCUACCCCGCCUCCUGCCACGAUCAUUCUUUUGUAGCAAUAUUCCGCCAGCUUCAUUUCAUGCAGUGAGUGGAACAAGAGUCAGAACACCAGGGCGGCUGAGCCUAUCGAUCAAGCCUCCACCUAAUGACAGACAUACUUGAGUCCCACAGUCAUAAGGAGGAUGAAGUCUCUCUCUGGCUGGACCUGGACUGCAGUCACACUCUAAGAGCUCCUCUUUCUACACCUCUGCCAGUGGGCGUUCGGUCAGAGACAAGCUAUGGCACCGGCUCCCGGACGCACGGGAGGACUCCUACCAGGGACAGAGUCCGCACAGGUACCAGAGCAAUGAGGAAGCAGGACCCAGACCCCUGACUCCUAACUCCAGGUGAAGUCCACCCUGAGCUCAGGAGCAGAGCUGCCUCCAUCGGGUGUGGAGAGACAGAGCCUCCUCCCCAGCCAUGCCUCCUCAUCGGCCCACGGGAGCUGCUGUGACUCUGACCCCUGUACCUGGCUCUGUCGACCGGAAUAGUCAGUGGGCAGCCAGCACACCUUUGGGUGCUCUGUAUGAGUGGGAUUUUCUCCUGAUUAGACAUUUUAAAAGAUUGUCAACAAAAAGAACAAA
rnacentral:lncRNA from 1 species